UGAGGGAGUUUGACUAGAGCCAAUGAA
rnacentral:piRNA from 1 species